AGAGUGAACGCUGGCGGUAGGCCUAACACAUGCAAGUCGAACGGCAGCACAGGAGAGCUUGCUCUCUGGGUGGCGAGUGGCGGACGGGUGAGGAAUACAUCGGAAUCUACCUUUUCGUGGGGGAUAACGUAGGGAAACUUACGCUAAUACCGCAUAAGACCUUCGGGUGAAAGCCGGGGACCUUCGGGCCUGGCGCGGAUAGAUGAGCCGAUGUCGGAUUAGCUUGUUGGCGGGGUAAAAGCCCACCAAGGCGACGAUCCGUAGCUGGUCUGAGAGGAUGAUCAGCCACACUGGAACUGAGACACGGUCCAGACUCCUACGGGAGGCAGCAGUGGGAAUAUUAGGACAAUGGGCGCAAGCCUGAUCCAGCCAUACCGCGUGGGUGAAGGAAGGGCCUUCGGUUAGGUUAAAGCCCGUUUUAGUUAGGUAAAGUAAAUCCUCGACCGGUUUAACUAACCGUAAGUAA
rnacentral:rRNA from 1 species